GUGAUUCUAUGGCUGAAAUUACAGUAGAAAUAGAAUGAUAAAAUGCAGAAAAUGUAAAGAUAGGCUAGGUAGUUUGAGACACCUAGAAUCUCCCAAGUAGAGUGACUACUAAAAUAAUUGCCUAAAAACAAUGGCAGAGAACCUUCUCCUAUUUAAUCAAUCAGAUCCAGAUCUAUUUUCCCUUCCCUCACUGAAUAAGGAAACAUUCCUAUAAUGGUAUGAUUAGUUGUAUCCUUCUUCCCACGUUUCCUUUUAUAAAAUCU
rnacentral:lncRNA from 1 species